AGUGAACGCUGGCGGUAGGCCUAACACAUGCAAGUCGAACGGCAGCACAGGAGAGCCUGCUCUCUGGGUGGCGAGUGGCGGACGGGUGAGGAAUACAUCGGAAUCUACCUUUUCGUGGGGGAUAACGUAGGGAAACUUACGCUAAUACCGCAUACGACCUACGGGUGAAAGUGGGGGACCGCAAGGCCUCACGCGAUUAGAUGAGCCGAUGUCCGAUUAGCUAGUUGGCGGGGUAAUGGCCCACCAAGGCGACGAUCGGUAGCUGGUCUGAGAGGAUGAUCAGCCACACUGGAACUGAGAAACGGUCCAGACUCCUACGGGAGGCAGCAGUGGGGAAUAUUGGACAAUGGGCGCAAGCCUGAUCCAGCCAUACCGCGUGGGUGAAGAAGGCCUUCGGGUUGUAAAGCCCUUUUGUUGGGAAAGAAAUCCUGUCGAUUAAUACUCGGUGGGGAUGACGGUACCCAAAGAAUAAGCACCGGCUAACUUCGUGCCAGCCGCCGCGGUAACAC
rnacentral:rRNA from 1 species